rnacentral:rRNA from 1 species
CCUACGGGUGGCUGCAGUCGAGAAUCUUCGGCAAUGGGGGAAACCCUGACCGAGCGACGCCGCGUGUGGGAUGAAGGCCCUUGGGUUGUAAACCACUGUCAGAGGGGAUGAAGUGCGGGAGAGCAAUCUCUUCCGUUUGACAUAGCCUCAGAGGAAGCACGGGCUAAGUUCGUGCCAGCAGCCGCGGUAAUACGAACUGUGCAAACGUUAUUCGGAAUCACUGGGCUUACAGGGUGCGUAGGCGGCUUGUUAAGCAGGGUGUGAAAUCCCUCGGCUCAACCGAGGAAUUGCGCCCUGAACUGGCGAGCUUGAGUGGGACAGAGGUGCGUGGAACUUCCAGUGGAGCGGUGAAAUGUGUUGAUAUUGGAAGGAACACCAGAGGCGAAAGCGGCGCACUGGGUCUCAACUGACGCUGAGGCACGAAAGCCAGGGGAGCAAACGGGAUUAGAUACCCUAGUAGUC